rnacentral:rRNA from 1 species
GACGAACGCUGGCGGCGUGCUUAACACAUGCAAGUCGAGCGGUAAGGCCCUUUCGGGGGUACACGAGCGGCGAACGGGUGAGUAACACGUGGGUGACCUGCCCUCAGCUCUGGGAUAAGCCUGGGAAACCGGGUCUAAUACUGGAUAUGACUCCAUGACGCAUGUUGUGGGGUGGAAAGCCUUGUGCGGCUGAGGAUGGGGCCCGCGGCCUAUCAGCUUGUUGGUGGGGUGANGGCCCCACCAAGGCGACGACGGGUAGCCGGCCUGAGAGGGCGACCGGCCACACUGGGACUGAGACACGGCCCAGACUCCUACGGGAGGCAGCAGUGGGGAAUCUUGCGCAAUGGGCGAAAGCCUGACGCAGCGACGCCGCGUGAGGGAUGACGGCCU